AGUGAACGCUGGCUGUAGGCCUAACACAUGCAAGUCGAACGGCAGCACAGUAAGAGCUUGCUCUUACGGGUGGCGAGUGGCGGACGGGUGAGUAAUACAUCUGAAUCUACUUUUUCGUGGGGGAUAACGUAGGGAAACUUACGCUAAUACCGCAUACGACCUACUUGUGAAAGCAGGGUAUCUUCGGACCUUGCGCGAUUGAAUGAGCCGAUGUCGGAUUAGCUAGUUGGCGGGGGAAAGGCCCACCAAGGCGACGAUACGUAGCUGGUCUGAGAGGAUGAUCAGCCCCACUGGAACUGAGACAAGGUACAGACCACUCUGGGAGGCAGCAGUGGGGAAUAUUAGACAAGGGGCGGAAGCCAGAUCCGAACAUACCGCGUGGGUGAAGAGAGCAUUCGGGUUGUGAAGCCAUUUUGUUGGGAAAGAAAAGCAGAAGGUUAAUACCCCGCUGUUCUGACGGUACCCAAAGAAUAAGCACCGGCUAACUUCGUG
rnacentral:rRNA from 1 species